AAACUGGGAUUAGAUACCCCNCUAUUAAANUAAAAANUAAAANGAAGUANUAAAAUCAANUGAUUAAAANUUAAAGAAUAUGGNGGCAGUUAUAAANUUUAGGGGAAUUUACACAAUAAUUGACAACCCUCAAGAUGUCCCACAUAUUUUUAUAGUUUGUAUACCGCCGUCUUCAGGUACAAUUUUAGAUUGUACUAACAACUUUCUGGGCAAGACAGGUCAUGGUGCAGCCAAUAAAUAUGCUUGCUGCGAGUUACAAUAAUUUUUUUUUUCGGAUAAAUUCUUAAAUUAUGAAAAGAAGCUGGACUUAAUAGUAAAAUAUAAUAAUAAGUACUCUUUGAAAUUUUUUUUAGCUGUGCACACACGCCGUCACCCUC
rnacentral:rRNA from 1 species